UCCCAGACUCCUCGGGAGGCAGCAGUGGGGAAUAUUGCACAAUGGGGGAAACCCUGAUGCAGCGACGCCGCGUGAGUGAAGAAGCGCCUCGGCGCGUAAAGCUCUGUCAGCAGGAACGACGAUGACGGUACCUGAAGAAGAAGCCCCGGCUAACUACGUGCCAGCAGCCGCGGUAAUACGUAGGGGGCAAGCGUUAUCCGGAUUCAUUGGGCGUAAAGCGCGCGCAGGCGGGCCGCUAAGCGGGACCUCUAAUCUUGGGGCUCAACCUCAAGCCGGGUCCCGAACUGGCAGCCUCGAGUGCGGUAGGGGUAAGCGGAAUUCCCGGUGUAGCGGUGGAAUGCGCAGAUAUCGGGAAGAACACCGAUGGCGAAGGCAGCUUACUGGGCCGACACUGACGCUGAGGCGCGAAAGCUAGGGGAGCGAACAGGAUUAGAUACCCCCGUAAA
rnacentral:rRNA from 1 species